UACGAAGGGGGGCUAGCGUUGCUCGGAAUCACUGGGCGUAAAGGGUGCGUAGGCGGGUCUUUAAGUCAGGGGUGAAAUCCUGGAGCUCAACUCCAGAACUGCCUUUGAUACUGAGGAUCUUGAGUUCGGGAGAGGUGAGUGGAACUGCGAGUGUAGAGGUGAAAAUUCGUAGAUAUUCGCAAGAACACCAGUGGCGAAGGCGGCUCACUGGCCCGUAU
rnacentral:rRNA from 1 species